ensembl:snoRNA
GGCUUCCUCAUGCUCACCACAUGCCAUGUUCUUAUGCUGACUUAUAUAGAGAGGAGGCAGAGUAAACUGACCCCCUAUACAGCUAAGCCCAGGCCAUUGUGUCUACUGGAUACAUGGAUUUGGAACGAAGA